rnacentral:rRNA from 1 species
GAUGAACGCUAGCGGCAGGCUUAAUACAUGCAAGUUGAGGGGCAGCAUGAUAUACGCGAGUAUAUUGAUGGCGACCGGCGGACGGGUGAGUAAUAGGUAGGAGACCUACCUCAUACAGGGGGAUAGCAUAGAGAAAUCUGUGGUAAUACCCCAUGAGGUUAUAUGAAUAGAGGCAUAUAAUCAAAGCAUAAGCGAUUAUGCGGUAUGAGAGGGGCCUACUGACCAUUAGCUAGUUGGUGAGGUAAGGGCUCACCAAGGCGAAGAUGGUUAGGGGUUUUGAGAGAGAGACCCCCCACAUUGGAACUGAGAGACGGUCCAGACUCCUACGGGAGCAGCAGUAGGGAAUAUUGGGCAAUGGGCGAAAGCCUGACCCAGCCAUGCCGCGUGAAGGAAGACGGCCUUAUGGGUUGUAAACUUCUUUACUACGCGAAUAGAGGUUAGUACGAGAUACUAAUAGGAAGGUAGUGUAGUAAAAAGCACCGGCUAACUCCGUG